AGCGUACACGGUGGAUGCCCUGGCAGUCAGAGGCGAUGAAGGACGUGCUAAUCUGCGAAAAGCGUCGGUAAGGUGAUAUGAACCGUUACAGCCGGCGAUGUCCGAAUGGGGAAACCCAGUGUGAUUCGUCACACUAUCGUUAACUGAAUACAUAGGUUAACGAGGCGAACCGGGGGAACUGAAACAUCUAAGUACCCCGAGGAAAAGAAAUCAACCGAGAUUCCCCCAGUAGCGGCGAGCGAACGGGGAGCAGCCCAGAGUCUGAAUCAGCUUGUGUGUUAGUGGAACGGUCUGGAAAGUCCGACGGUACAGGGUGAUAGUCCCGUACACCAAAAUGCACAGGCUGUGAACUCGAAGAGUAGGGCGGGACACGUGGUAUCCUGUCUGAAUAUGGGGGGACCAUCCUCCAAGGCUAAAUACUCCUGACUGACCGAUAGUGAACCAGUACCGUGAGGGAAAGGCGAAAAGAACCCCGGCGAGGGGAGUGAAAAAGAACCUGAAACCGUGUACGUACAAGCAGUGGGAGCACCUUCGGGUGUGACUGCGUACCUUUUGUAUAAUGGGUCAGCGACUUAUAUUCUGUAGCAAGGUUAACCGUAUAGGGGAGCCGCAGGGAAACCGAGUCUUAACUGGGCGUUAAGUUGCAGGGUAUAGACCCGAAACCCGGUGAUCUAGCCAUGGGCAGGUUGAAGGUUGGGUAACACUAACUGGAGGACCGAACCGACUAAUGUUGAAAAAUUAGCGGAUGACUUGUGGCUGGGGGUGAAAGGCCAAUCAAACCGGGAGAUAGCUGGUUCUCCCCGAAAGCUAUUUAGGUAGCGCCUCGUGAAUUCAUCUUCGGGGGUAGAGCACUGUUUCGGCUAGGGGGUCAUCCCGACUUACCAACCCGAUGCAAACUACGAAUACCGAAGAAUGUUAUCACGGGAGACACACGGCGGGUGCUAACGUCCGUCGUGAAGAGGGAAACAACCCAGACCGCCAGCUAAGGUCCCAAAGUCAUGGUUAAGUGGGAAACGAUGUGGGAAGGCACAGACAGCCAGGAUGUUGGCUUAGAAGCAGCCAUCAUUUAAAGAAAGCGUAAUAGCUCACUGGUCGAGUCGGCCUGCGCGGAAGAUGUAACGGGGCUAAACCAUGCACCGAAGCUGCGGCAGCGACACUAUGUGUUGUUGGGUAGGGGAGCGUUCUGUAAGCCUGCGAAGGUGUGCUGUGAGGCAUGCUGGAGGUAUCAGAAGUGCGAAUGCUGACAUAAGUAACGAUAAAGCGGGUGAAAAGCCCGCUCGCCGGAAGACCAAGGGUUCCUGUCCAACGUUAAUCGGGGCAGGGUGAGUCGACCCCUAAGGCGAGGCCGAAAGGCGUAGUCGAUGGGAAACAGGUUAAUAUUCCUGUACUUGGUGUUACUGCGAAGGGGGGACGGAGAAGGCUAUGUUAGCCGGGCGACGGUUGUCCCGGUUUAAGCAUGUAGGCUGAUUAUCCAGGCAAAUCCGGAUAAUCAAGGCUGAGGUGUGAUGACGAGGCACUACGGUGCUGAAGUAACAAAUGCCCUGCUUCCAGGAAAAGCCUCUAAGCAUCAGGUAACAUCAAAUCGUACCCCAAACCGACACAGGUGGUCAGGUAGAGAAUACCAAGGCGCUUGAGAGAACUCGGGUGAAGGAACUAGGCAAAAUGGUGCCGUAACUUCGGGAGAAGGCACGCUGGUGUGUAGGUGAAGUCCCUGCGGAUGGAGCUGAGACCAGUCGAAGAUACCAGCUGGCUGCAACUGUUUAUUAAAAACACAGCACUGUGCAAACACGAAAGUGGACGUAUACGGUGUGACGCCUGCCCGGUGCCGGAAGGUUAAUUGAUGGGGUUAUCCGUAAGGAGAAGCUCUUGAUCGAAGCCCCGGUAAACGGCGGCCGUAACUAUAACGGUCCUAAGGUAGCGAAAUUCCUUGUCGGGUAAGUUCCGACCUGCACGAAUGGCGUAAUGAUGGCCAGGCUGUCUCCACCCGAGACUCAGUGAAAUUGAACUCGCUGUGAAGAUGCAGUGUACCCGCGGCAAGACGGAAAGACCCCGUGAACCUUUACUAUAGCUUGACACUGAACAUUGAGCCUUGAUGUGUAGGAUAGGUGGGAGGCUUUGAAGCGUGGACGCCAGUCUGCGUGGAGCCAACCUUGAAAUACCACCCUUUAAUGUUUGAUGUUCUAACGUUGGCCCCUUACCGGGGUUGCGGACAGUGUCUGGUGGGUAGUUUGACUGGGGCGGUCUCCUCCCAAAGCGUAACGGAGGAGCACGAAGGUUAGCUAAUCCUGGUCGGACAUCAGGAGGUUAGUGCAAUGGCAUAAGCUAGCUUGACUGCGAGCGUGACGGCGCGAGCAGGUGCGAAAGCAGGUCAUAGUGAUCCGGUGGUUCUGAAUGGAAGGGCCAUCGCUCAACGGAUAAAAGGUACUCCGGGGAUAACAGGCUGAUACCGCCCAAGAGUUCAUAUCGACGGCGGUGUUUGGCACCUCGAUGUCGGCUCAUCACAUCCUGGGGCUGAAGUAGGUCCCAAGGGUAUGGCUGUUCGCCAUUUAAAGUGGUACGCGAGCUGGGUUUAGAACGUCGUGAGACAGUUCGGUCCCUAUCUGCCGUGGGCGCUGGAGAAUUGAGGGGGGCUGCUCCUAGUACGAGAGGACCGGAGUGGACGCAUCACUGGUGUUCGGGUUGUCAUGCCAAUGGCACUGCCCGGUAGCUAAAUGCGGAAGAGAUAAGUGCUGAAAGCAUCUAAGCACGAAACUUGCCCCGAGAUGAGUUCU
rnacentral:rRNA from 1 species